rnacentral:rRNA from 1 species
GUGGGGAAUAUUGGACAAUGGGCGCAAGCCUGAUCCAGCCAUACCGCGUGGGUGAAGAAGGCCUUCGGGUUGUAAAGCCCUUUUGUUGGGAAAGAAAUCCUAUCGAUUAAUACUCGGUGGGGAUGACGGUACCCAAAGAAUAAGCACCGGCUAACUUCGUGCCAGCAGCCGCGGUAAUACGAAGGGUGCAAGCGUUACUCGGAAUUACUGGGCGUAAAGCGUGCGUAGGUGGUUGUUUAAGUCUGCUGUGAAAGCCCUGGGCUCAACCUGGGAAUUGCAGUGGAUACUGGGCAACUAGAGUGUGGUAGAGGGAUGCGGAAUUUCUGGUGUAGCAGUGAAAUGCGUAGAGAUCAGAAGGAACAUCCGUGGCGAAGGCGGCAUCCUGGGCCAACACUGACACUGAGGCACGAAAGCGUGGGGAGCAAACAGGAUUAGAAACCCCGGUAGUCC